GAGCGUGUUUUAUUGCAUCGGAGCAUCAUGGGGUCCAAUUCAUGGUUCCCGAAACUGAACAGUUGCUGCGGUUUUCCUUUGCGGACGGGGACACUCAUCAUAGGUUGGACUUUUGCAGCUAUCGGAGUGCUUGAUUUCCCGAUUGGAUUACCAAAUACGAUCAAAUUUAUCAGCGGAUAUCACAGCAUCGAAAGUACAGGAGAGCAAAUAGCAGUAGUCAUAAUGAUAAAGGAAUUCAUCUUAGGAGCUUUCGGCACAAUUGCUGCUCUUAUGCUUUUAUUUGGAGUGUAUAAGCAAAAACCAAAAUUUUUAUCACCAUUCAUAGCGUUGGCUAUCCUCGAAGGGGUCGACCUACUUCAGAACUUUCCAAUCUUCAUAUUCACCAAUCUCCGGUCAGACAUGGAACGCAUGUUGCCGAUUAAGAAUCAUGAUCAAGACAUUUAUGAGGCAGUCUACCAUCCCUUAUCACUUAUAUUAAAUUUCGCACUAAAUUUCUACAUUUGCACGAUUGUAUACAGUUACUAUAACGAAAUGAGAAGCAGCAUCCCGUACCGAAGAAAUGUGGAUGAAUCCAGCGCGGAGACAGCCUGAAGGAGAGGCACUACAUAAAUCUUGAUUUAUUUAUUCAUGUAAUUCCAGAAUGUCGUGAAUAAGUCGCAAUAGUUCUCUCUAACUAUUUUUAUACAAUUCCAAUUUGUUCUACUUUUAGGAUUAAAAUUUUUUACACGUAUAUUUUACUAAAUAUAAAACUGAUCUGAGUUAAUAUUUUAAUAUUGUUUUUGCACUGAAUUUUGUAAAUUUAUAAAAAAAUAAAAUGUUUAUUCAUCUGAAAAUUCGGAACACUUUACACCACCGAGCUCACCACUGCCAUGUUAUGGAGGAACGCUAUAUAAAAUAUGGGAGUUGCCAAAUUUCCGCGAAUAAAACAAGUAUUUUAAAGAAUAGUAAUGUUUAUUUUUCCUUGGAAUUUGUAGAUAUUUUGGAUUAAAUUGCGAGAUAAAUUGUCUGAAAAAAUUGAAGAAAAAUAUUCAAAAUUUUCUCUGUAAAUUAGGUUUUUAUUGAAGUAAAUGUUGCGAUGUCUGAAGGUUCAUUUGGCGUUCUUCCUUAGCACGGCAGUACAAUCCCGGCAAAUGCGUCGAAUCGAAAGUUUGGAGGAGCGAUAAAACUCCUUCAAAAUCUCAAGCGGCAAAUUUGGAUACACCUUCCGCGCCUAACAGGACUUGCAAAGUAAUAGAAGAACGGAUUUAUUGACACUAGAUAUAGCGGCUGAAAGCUGAAACUGAAACACGCUGAACUUCGUAUUCAUGCGCUGAAAAACGUUUAUGUUUAUUCGAGUAAUAUUUUGUCCUAAAGAAUACACCGUAUCUGCCGUUUGCAAUUUCUCUACUAAUGGUGAACGAAAAUAUGCUGAAAACGACUUUUUCGUUCGGAUAUCUCCACGGAACUUUGCACGCUCCACAUUGGCGGAUCAAGCAAAUUGGCAACAUUGUCUUUUCUCCACUUAAAAGCCUAGCUUUUGCCAAAUGCUUUCGCUGCAUUGAAGAAUUGAAUUGCAUUGCUUCAACUGAGAAAAAACUAUAACCUACUUCGACGAUUCUGCAGACAACUCUGCAAGUAUAAUUUAUCAUUUUAGCGAUUCAAAAUGCGUAAGCAUGAUCGCUUCUUC
rnacentral:lncRNA from 1 species